rnacentral:lncRNA from 1 species
ACCGGUCUCUCCAUUUCAGAGACCGGUCCCAGAACACAAGAAAGUUCAGAAAAGUUGUUUAAAAACAAUCUAAGCCUUCUGAACUUAUUUUAAUUAUGUAUCUUCACCACAAAUGAUCUUUUCUUCAUACCUUAGGUGUCGAUCUUUCCGAAUGAGUCUUUGUCCUCCAAUUUGAAUCUUUUCUCAAAAACUUCUGCGAUCAACUCUUCAAGACUCCAAACAACUUUACGAAAUUCGCCAACCUAUAAAAUCCUUAACAAUCUCCCCCUUUGGCGAUUUCGUGACAAAAUAUACUACAAAGCUCGUAUACAACCAAUAAGUCAUAAAAAGAAGAUCAUCGCAAUCACCAAACGAUAAUCUCCUGCAUGAUCAAUCCAAUAAACAAAAUUUACACUUUUACAACCUUAAUACAAACUCUAUGACUUAGACAUGGAGUCUUGAAGUCUUGAAUUAUUCCUGCAAAAACAUUCUCAAA